rnacentral:rRNA from 1 species
CUACGGGAGGCUCCAGUGAGGAAUAUUGCACAAUGGGGGGAACCCUGAUGCAGCAACGCCGCGUGGAGGAUGACGCAUUUCGGUGUGUAAACUCCUUUUAUAUGUCAAGAAAAUGACGGUAGCAUAUGAAUAAGCACCGGCUAACUCCGUGCCAGCAGCCGCGGUAAUACGGAGGGUGCAAGCGUUACUCGGAAUCACUGGGCGUAAAGGACGCGUAGGCGGGUUGGAAGGUCAGGUGUGAAAUCCUACAGCUUAACUGUAGAACUGCACUUGAAACUUCUAAUCUAGAGUAUGGGAGGGGGAGAUGGAAUUAGUGGUGUAGGGGUAAAAUCCGUAGAUAUCACUAGGAAUACCUAAAGCGAAGGCGAUCUCCUGGAACAUUACUGACGCUAAGGCGUGAAAGCGUGGGGAGCAAACAGGAUUAAAUACCCCGGUAGUC